rnacentral:miRNA from 1 species
CUGCAUUGUUGUUGCAUUGCAUC